rnacentral:lncRNA from 1 species
CGACAAUAAUUGACAACGGUGACGAGGUGAAGCGACGGUGGUGUGGUGUGGUGUUUAAAAAGUUAGGGUUUUGUUUUUUUCCUUUUGGAGAAGAUGAAGAAAAAAAGAGGUUUGGGGAUUUUUGGUGUUUUAUUUUUUUAUUUUUUUUCUUGUAGCCGGUUUGAGCCUUCUUGUCCAUUUCUUUUUCUUUUUUUUCUUUGAGCUAGCUACGUCGUUCGACCCAAUUUCCUUUUUUUUUUCUCUUUUUUUUUCUUUUCUCCUCUUGGGCUUGUUUGGGUGUUGGGCUUAUUUUGGGUUUAUUGUGUGGUUUUUCUUCAUUUGGGUUAGUAUUUGGGUAUAGGGUAGGUAGGCUAAGUGGACUUGGGUUUGGGAUUAUUAUUUGGGUUAUAAGUGUGUUAGGUUUUGUUUGCAGGUAAAUAAUUGUCAGCAUUUAACAUGUUAUACCGACGCUACCAUCAUUAUCCCACUUUUAAAAAAUUCACAAUCUCUAUUAUAUUCUUGAAAACAUCAAAUUAACUGGAUUAAAUAAGAAUUUAUUUAUUUAUUUACAAC